GGCUUGCCUGAGGACUCGUGUAACAGUGAGAUUAUUGGCGCGCUUUUCUAAGUUCGGGGCCCCUCGGCUAUAGUCGGACGUGACGUCAUCGAACUUCGGAUUCCUCCGGAUUUCACAUCGCAGAAAAUGAUAGGACGUUAAAUCCACAGUGGCUUAUAUUAUUUAAUAAUAUUCGAAGAUUUACCGUACAGGAUUGUUUAGAAUAUUUUUAUUUCAUUAGCACUAUAACGAGGCACGACUGUCAUGAUGAUAUUGAUAGGAUUGAAACCAGCGUGAAUAUUCAUAUACAAGUUACAACCUAACCCCAAACAUAGUAAAAAAUAAACACAAGGUUACUUGCUAUUUGCAAUCAACGUCAUCAAUUAUUAUUCCACGAUAAUUUGACCCAUCUCUUCAUUUUCUUCCAACGAUAAUGUUACAAAUACUACAUAAAAGAAUUAAGUAUUACAAAACCUUGGUGAUCGUUAAGUGUAAUUAAGAACUGACGUAUUCAUUUGAUAUUGAAAAUAAUUUUUACUUAAAGCUUCGAUAAAGGUAAGAUUCAAUCGUGGAAUUUACCUUGAAGAAAAAGCGAGACAUUGAUACUAUUAUCGUGAAGAGAAAACCUCCCGUGGCUUAAAGCUCUUUCACAAAGCUUCGAGAAACUCAUUUUUCCGAGCUUGUACGCGGCUAUCCGACCAGAGAUUUCCAAGCUCGAUAACUUCUUAUUCACAUCAUUCAGUCACUCUGAAAUUCGUUAUUGACAUUAUAAUAAAUUCAUGAUAUUGAAAUCUUCUUUUUUCAUGUGUUAAUCUAGAUGCCAGUGUAAAAAUGGAAACCCUCUAAAAGGGGAAGCGAUCAUGAUUAAUACGCAAAAGUGCAAAAAUAUACGAAAUGUACACUGAAUAUGAAAAUAUACAGAAUAGAACAUUCAUUACGAUAUUCGGUAAUCGAGACGAAUUUUUGCUUAUGUUUCACUUCUUUAGUUAUAUUUAUGAAAAUAUAAAUUUCCAUAAACAUCUUCAGUCUAGUGAUAACAAAUGAUGAAAAACUAUUCCAUUGAAACUGUUGGUUAUUCCAAUGUAUUAGAUAGAUAGAAAAUUUUGUUGGUUCUUGCAUUACAUGAAAUAAAAUAUGAUGGUGUUCGAUAGAAACUAAUUCUAUAGAGUAACUACAGACGUCAUACUUCAAUAAUAUAUAAAAGAACGAUGGCUUUUUGUUUAUUUUAUGCCAAUAAUCGAAGUGGGAAAAUAUCAAAGAAUGAAAUCAUGUGUGUCGUUGUACAAGUUCAAGAAAGGUAGAGGUACAAGCUUGCAACGGCAUUUAUCCAGCGUAUGGUAAAGCUAUAAAUAAAAGAACAUGCUAGUGAUGGUUUAUUUGUCAUCGCCCUGAGAAUAUUUCUCUUCAAGACCAAUCGCAGUUAAAUGUCAAACGUACUUACUGAUGACUUCAUAAGCUCUAAGGACUUACAAUUCUCUGCAGAGGGAUCAGUUAAGAAAUAGAUGGAAAGGAGUCGUAAAAUUAAAUUGUUAAUGCGAAGUAUGAGGUCACAUUUUUUAAAUAAUGGAAAAGUUCGAUGCAACUUAACUACGAUCGACACUAAUACAACGAACAAUAAAACAUUAACACGAUGCAUUUUCUUAUGAAACUUAAUAUGACUGUAUAAUAAGCAAAUGUAGCCUAAAGCUACUGCAGCUACCCGAGGUUUAUUUCAAAGAAAAUUGAAACGAAGUAAGUAUGCAUACUGUUUGAAGAAUAGUAUGAGAUGCAUUUGUUCCAUUCACGUGUAAGACUGCAGAAAUGAGAAGUUGUGAACCCGACGGAAUUAAGCAUGAAACGAAAAUUUGAAACGAAAAAUCAAAUAUAUGGGUGGGAAUAUAUAGGAAAUAUAUGGGUAUGGCAGUAUGGAAGAGGCAGGAAAACUAUAAAAUUUUAUUGAUUGGAAGAAAUUAAGACAGGAAGGUACAUUAAACUGGUUAAUUCUUUCCCGUCCUUGAUGUUCAAUGUCUAACGAAGGAAAUUAUUCAUGAAGCCAGAUAAGAAGUAGUUAUGAAUUAAAACCAUGCGUGUGCGAUUUUAUUCCUGUGGAAGAAGUAUUAUAUGUAGAGACGAAUAGAAUGUCAGAGACGCAUGCGAUGAAUGUAAAAUAAUCCUCGCAUCUAUUUGAAUAAGAAAUUUUCUGCAGGACUUGGCUAGAUUAUGACUGACGCAAUUUCUCUUAAUUUUCAAAAAUAUUAAAUCAUAUACUGUAAAAAUCAAAUAGUUUUGCCCUUCUAGAAAAAUAAUUUAUAAUCUGCUUGUCAUACUAUACACUUCAACGCUAUUUAUAUAAAUUUACCAUCUUCACAAUUUAC